rnacentral:rRNA from 1 species
AACGAACGCUGGCGGCAUGCCUAACACAUGCAAGUCGAACGAGACCUUCGGGUCUAGCGGCGCACGGGUGCGUAACGCGUGGGAAUCUGCCCUUCGGUUCGGAAUAACUCAGGGAAACUUGAGCUAAUACCGGAUAAUGACUUCGGUCCAAAGAUUUAUCGCCGAGGGAUGAGCCCGCGUCGGAUUAGCUUGUUGGUGAGGUAAAAGCUCACCAAGGCGACGAUCCGUAGCUGGUCUGAGAGGAUGAUCAGCCACACUGGGACUGAGACACGGCCCAGACUCCUACGGGAGGCAGCAGUGGGGAAUAUUGGACAAUGGGCGAAAGCCUGAUCCAGCAAUGCCGCGUGAGUGAUGAAGGCCUUAGGGUUGUAAAGCUCUUUUACCCGGGAUGAUAAUGACAGUACCGGGAGAAUAAGCCCCGGCUAACUCCGUGCCAGCAGCCGCGGUAAUACGGAGGGGGCUAGCGUUGUUCGGAAUUACUGGGCGUAAAGCGCACGUA